UACAGAGACUGCAAGCGUUAUUCGGAUUCACUGGGCGUAAAGGGUGCGCAGGCGGUUGGGUGUGUCCGAUGUGAAAUCCCGAGGCUUAACCUCGGAACUGCGUCUGAAACUACUCGACUAGAGUACUGGAGAGGGUAACGGAAUUCACGGUGUAGCAGUGAAAUGCGUAGAUAUCGUGAGGAACACCAGAGGCGAAGGCGGUUACCUGGACAGUUACUGACGCUCAGGCACGAAAGCAUGGGGAGCAAAAGGG
rnacentral:rRNA from 1 species